rnacentral:rRNA from 1 species
AUUGAACGCUGGCGGCAGGCCUAACACAUGCAAGUCGAGCGGCAGCGGGAAAGUAGCUUGCUACUUUUGCCGGCGAGCGGCGGACGGGUGAGUAAUGCCUGGGAAAUUGCCCAGUCGAGGGGGAUAACAGUUGGAAACGACUGCUAAUACCGCAUACGCCCUACGGGGGAAAGCAGGGGACCUUCGGGCCUUGCGCGAUUGGAUAUGCCCAGGUGGGAUUAGCUAGUUGGUGAGGUAAUGGCUCACCAAGGCGACGAUCCCUAGCUGGUCUGAGAGGAUGAUCAGCCACACUGGAACUGAGACACGGUCCAGACUCCUACGGGAGGCAGCAGUGGGGAAUAUUGCACAAUGGGGGAAACCCUGAUGCAGCCAUGCCGCGUGUGUGAAGAAGGCCUUCGGGUUGUAAAGCACUUUCAGCGAGGAGGAAAGGUUGGCGCCUAAUACGCGUCAACUGUGACGUUACUCGCAGAAGAAGCACCGGCUAACUCCGUGCCAGCAGCCGCCGCAG